GCUCCGUUGGUGAACCAGCGGAGGGAUCAUUACAGGACUCGCAAGACUCCUACAACCCUGUGAACUUAACUAUAAGCACGUUGCUUCGGCGGGUGUCUCGGAGGGGGUUCUCCCUCCCCGAGACGCUAAACCCGCCGGCAGCCUACUAUACUCUGUCUCUUUGCGUUGGCAUCUCGAGUACAAUCAAACAAGUUAAAACUUUCAACAACGGAUCUCUUGGUUCUGACAUCGAUGAAGAACGCAGC
rnacentral:misc_RNA from 1 species